rnacentral:rRNA from 1 species
CCUACGGGAGGCAGCAGUGGGGAAUAUUGCACAAUGGGGGAAACCCUGAUGCAGCGACGCCGCGUGAAUGAAGAAGUAUUUCGGUACGUAAAGCUCUAUCAGCAGGGAAGAAAAUGACGGUACCUGAGUAAGAAGCCCCGGCUAACUACGUGCCAGCAGCCGCGGUAAUACGUAGGGGGCAAGCGUUAUCCGGAUUUACUGGGUGUAAAGGGAGCGUAGACGGUGAGGCAAGUCUGAAGUGAAAUGCCGGGGCUCAACCGCGGGACUGCAUUGGAAACUGGCGAACUAGAGUGCCGGAGGGGUAAGCGGAAGUCCUAGUGUAGCGGUGAAAUGCGUAGAUAUUAGGAGGAACACCAGUGGCGAAGGCGGUUUGCUGGACGGUGACUGACGUUGAGGCUCGAAAGCGUGGGGAGCAAACAGGAUUAGAUACCCGUGUAGUC